rnacentral:lncRNA from 10 species
UCUCCACCACACCUCUGCAAGGUGAACCUGGGACUGGGAGGGACAGCCUGCUGAGGACUGAGAGCGUGGGACACUUAUGACUGUCACACUCCUUCUCUGCAAAUCUUCCUCUAAAAGGCUUCCCAGGGCUUGGCUCUGCUUGGUUCUCUGAGCUCCUCCUGCAGGCAGCUGCCUUUCAGUUCACUAUUGUAUCCCAGUGAAUCCAAAAUUAGCUUGAUUCACAACAGAAAAUGAGCACAAAACCCCUCUAUAGCCAGAGAGUGAUUGUCUACAAAGUCCUAUGUGGUAGAAAUAAGGCUUUGCCCCAAGGAGCCAUCUGGCUGUGUGCCCUCUCCCACACGCACACUUCCAUUUGGCACACUUAUUGUUAUCCUGUGCUGUGAGGGAACAGAGGUACUGGCCACGGAUCCAUUGCAGAGGAGCCAGCUUAUACUCCCACGGUGCUAGGAAGGAGGCGGGACAGGUAAGACAAGCACACAAACCAUGGAAAAAACUGGAGGAAACUUUCCACACCUCUUAAGCAACUGGUGCAUUUCCCUGUGGUGUAGGUUGAGUAAGUAAGCCCGAGGAGAGAGGAUGGGGUGGACUCAGAUGCCCAGGGAGGCAAGUCUUGGUUUGGGGUUUUCAGGAAGGCAGGGCCACUUGUAGAGAUUGCAGCUGGUGGUGAACUGGGGUCUGUGGAGGUGGCAGGCAGAAAUAGCAACUCGUGUGUCCAUGGUGGCACCGUUUUCAAUGCGCCUUCAUAACCAUAUCUCGUUUGAUCCUGACAGUCCCUCUAUAAGCAGUUUGCCACUGUCAUUUUUCAGAUGAAAACAUCGAGGCUUAGAGGGGUUUCUGAGUAGCUGAGAAGUCAGGACUUCACACUCCCGAUCUUUCCCCUGGCCUCCAGUUUGCCUGGCAAAGUCACAGGAAGUAUCUCCAUGGCACCGCAUCAGCCCUCACAGAGCAGGAAACCUUGAUUUCUACAGAGGCUGUUUCCUCCCAGCCUUGUGCAAGGCCCACUGCAGAGACAAAAUUAUGGUGGCCAAAGUGUGAAUGCCAAGGCCACACUGGUAAGAGCCAGUGGCUGGGCAGCUGCAGUCACCCCACCGAAGGUAGACGGGUGUGGCUCAGUGGCAGGCAGAGGCUGGUCCCCACAGGGAGGAGGAGGGAGCCUGUGGGCGGCCCAGGGGCUGCCCCUCUGUCCCCAGGGGAGUGGGUGGAGGCCUGAGGGGGACUGUGCUGAGAUGUUUGGUCAUCAGAGGUCUGGGUGGGGGGUUGGGGAGGUAAAGCAAGAGUCUCUUAUUUUUAAACCAAUCAAUGAGAGGACAGCUGUUCUUUGUUUCCAUGAGCUCAGCAGAAGAGGAAAUGGUUUGCCUGUGCGGUGGGGGAGGAGGAGAGGGUAGGGUUUUAGGCCUCCAUCCCUGGGAUUUGCUGGUAGAAGAAAGGGAAUCAGCGCUGACUGAGCUCCUACUAUGUGCCCUUCCUGGGCCUGGCACUGGAAUCACAGGAUGAAUGAAUAAGGCAUAUUUCCUGCCCUGAGGAGGCGUCUAUAGGGGAAGUCGGAAUUAAGGCACCUCCAGAAUUCUGAGGUCAAGGGAAUGUCAACAGAGCUGUGAACAAAAUGCCCAAAGCCAUGAAAAUCUACAGAGAGAGACUCGAAGGGGAGGAAUGGGGUAGGAGCUGGUGCCGAGGAUGAGAGGGGAGAAUUCACCUGGUGGAGAACUGAUAGGCCAGGCUGAGGUCGGGAUGGUGGAGGAGGUGGUGGAGGUGAUGAGGUACCAGAGCAACCUCGAAGAAAGCUGAGAGGCAGGAGACCGCCAAAGGCAAACUUGGAACACCUGGUGACUCCGACUAACUCUCCAUGUGGUGUCCUUGAGGACUUUUAUGAUACUGCUACCACUGCUAAUAGUAAUAAAAGCCACUAUUUAAUGUGUUUACUAUGCGCUGGGUGUGCAAAUAUUGUGGAAAGAGUGAACAUAUGUGCAGAAUGCUUAAUAAACGUGAUCUCCUUUUAUCUUCAAAAGAACAAUACAGGCCAGGUGCGGUGGCUCAUGCCUAUAAUUCCAGCACUUUGGGAGGCCGAGGCAGAUGGAUUGCUUGAGCUCAAGAAGUUUCAGACCAGCCUGGGCAACAUGGCAAAACCCCAUCUCUACAAAAAAAUACCCAAAAAAUUAGCCAGGUGUGAUGUUGCCUGCCUGUGGUCCCAGCUACUCCAGAGGUUGAGGUGGGAGAAUCGCGUGAGCCCAGAAGGUCAAGGCUGCAGUGAGCUGUGAUCCUGCCACUGCACUCCAGCCUGGGGUGACAGAGUGAGACCCUGCCUAAAAAAAAAAGAAUCAAUACGAUUAAUACUUUUACUUCUAUUUUUCAGACAAGGAAAUUGAGGCUCAGAGAGGUUAGGAACUUGCCAGAAGACCUACCAGCAAGUGGCAGAGCUAAGGUCCCAUCUGACCCCAAAGCCCACCCAUAACCGCUAUGCAGUACUGUCCAGGCAGAAACACAAACAUUACCCCAUUGUUUUUAUUCUUCAACACCUUUGGUAUCAUCCAGUCCCAGGACACUGGCUCCUGAGGAAGGAAGGCCCCUCCCACAUCCUUUAAAAUUCCCAGGCAUAAAACCAUGUUCACCAGCCACCGUGAGGGUAAGCCUCAGAGACAGGGACCGUGCCCAC